rnacentral:tRNA from 2 species
GGUACCUUGGCCGAGUGGUUAGGCAGCAGCCUGCAAAGCUGUGUACACCAGUUCGAAUCUGGUAGGUACCU